UCGUCUACCCAUCUAAACUAGAUCAAGUGGAGAACAGACGUGUCGAUUCUCCGAAGAGCAUCUCCAUCCGUCCGGGUCUGAUCUAUAUGGGAAAAAGCAUAGCCUCUCAUUCUUGCUUCUUUUGCUAGCGCGUCUGCUCGGCUAUUUCUACUCCGAGGAAUAUGAGACAGACUCACAUCCUCGAAGUUUUCCUGUAACCUCUGGAGCACCUCAAUCUCUGUUGCGAAUGCUGGCCAAUCCACCGGGUUUGUUG
rnacentral:lncRNA from 1 species